AGUGAACGCUGGCGGUGGGCUCAGCACAUGCAAGUCGAACGAGAACGGGUUAUAGCUUGCUAUAAUUGUCAGCUAAGUGGCGCACGGGUGAGUAAUGUAUAGAUAACCUGCCCUCUAGAAAGGAAUAACAGUUGGAAACGACUGCUAAUGCCCUAUAUGCCUUUAAUACAUAAGUAUGCAAGGGAAACGCUUUAGUGCUAGAGGAUGGGUCUGUAUGGUAUCAGUUAGUUGGUGAGGUAAUGGCUCACCAAGACUAUGACGCCUAACUGGUUUGAGAGGAUGAUCAGUCACACUGGAACUGAGACACGGUCCAGACUCCUACGGGAGGCAGCAGUGGGGAAUAUUGCACAAUGGACGAAAGUCUGAUGCAGCAACGCCGCGUGGAGGAUGACACAUUUCGGUGCGUAAACUCCUUUUAUAUAGGAAGAUAAUGACGGUACUAUAUGAAUAAGCACCGGCUAACUCCGUGCCAGCAGCCGCCGUAA
rnacentral:rRNA from 1 species